rnacentral:misc_RNA from 1 species
GAUGAAGAACGUAGCGAAAUGCGAUAAGUAAUGUGAAUUGCAGAAUUCAGUGAAUCAUCGAAUCUUUGAACGCACAUUGCGCCCGCCAGUAUUCUGGCGGGCAUGCCUGUUCGAGCGUCAUUUCAACCAUGAAGCCCCAGGCUUGUGUUGGAGCCCUGCGGCUGCCGCAGCCUCCCAAAACCAGUGGCGGGCUCGCUAUCACACCGAGUGCAGUAGUUUACUCUUCGCUCAGGGCGUGUGGCGGGUGCUAGCCGUAAAACCCCCAACUUCUCAAGGUUGACCUCGGAUCAGGUAGGAAUACCCGCUGAACUUAAGCAUAUCAAUAAGCGGAGGA